UAUCUACUCUCUCUUCUCACAAAUGGAAAAUGUAGGUAAUAUUGUCUUACAGGCUGAGAAAGCAUCAUGGCACCAAACCCCCGAGUUGUGCAGGCCUUCCGUGCAAUGGGAAAUAGGAAUUGUGAGCAAAAAGUGAAACCGGUGUGAAGAGACUUCUAAAUAUAUAUGAUAAAAUUGGGAGCUAAUUGAAUCUGAAAAUUAUAGAGUUCUUGCUGUGCUAUCUUUGAUGAGGAGGAUAGUAAGGUUCCAGAACCUGAAAAAGACGAGAAAUGCAUCGAUGGAGAUAUUGGAGAUGAAGGUUCAGUACUUGAUGAGCCUGUAGGCCAUUAAAAAGAUUGAGAAAACUAGGUGAGG